CUUGCUCUCCGGGUGACGAGCGGCGGACGGGUGAGUAAUGUCUGGGAAACUGCCUGAUGGAGGGGGAUAACUACUGGAAACGGUAGCUAAUACCGCAUAACGUCUUCGGACCAAAGUGGGGGACCUUCGGGCCUCACGCCAUCAGAUGUGCCCAGAUGGGAUUAGCUAGUAGGUGGGGUAAUGGCUCACCUAGGCGACGAUCCCUAGCUGGUCUGAGAGGAUGACCAGCCACACUGGAACUGAGACACGGUCCAGACUCCUACGGGAGGCAGCAGUGGGGAAUAUUGCACAAUGGGCGCAAGCCUGGGUGCGGCCAUGCCGCGUGUGUGAAGAAGGCCUUCGGGUUGUAAAGCACUUUCAGCGAGGAGGAAGGGUGGUAUGUUAAUAGCGCAUCACAUUGACGUUACUCGCAGAAGAAGCACCGGCUAACUCCGUGCCAGCAGCCGCGGUAAUACGGAGGGUGCAAGCGUUAAUCGGAAUUACUGGGCGUAAAGCGCACGCAGGCGGUUUGUUAAGUCAGAUGUGAAAUCCCCGCGCUUAACGUGGGAACUGCAUUUGAAACUGGCAAGCUAGAGUCUUGUAGAGGGGGGUAGAAUUCCAGGUGUAGCGGUGAAAUGCGUAGAGAUCUGGAGGAAUACCGGUGGCGA
rnacentral:rRNA from 1 species